rnacentral:rRNA from 1 species
AACGAACGCUGGCGGCAUGCCUAACACAUGCAAGUCGAACGAGACCUUCGGGUCUAGUGGCGCACGGGUGCGUAACGCGUGGGAACCUGCCCUUAGGUUCGGGAUAACUCCCCGAAAGGGGUGCUAAUACCGGAUAAUGUCUUCGGACCAAAGAUUUAUCGCCUUUGGAUGGGCCCGCGUUGGAUUAGCUAGUUGGUAGGGUAAAAGCCUACCAAGGCGACGAUCCAUAGCUGGUCUGAGAGGACGAUCAGCCACACUGGGACUGAGACACGGCCCAGACUCCUACGGGAGGCAGCAGUGGGGAAUAUUGGACAAUGGGCGAAAGCCUGAUCCAGCAAUGCCGCGUGAGUGAUGAAGGCCUUAGGGUUGUAAAGCUCUUUUACCCGGGAUGAUAAUGACAGUACCGGGAGAAUAAGCGCCGGCUAACUCCGUG